GAUCCGGUAGUUCAGCUGGUUAGAAUGCCGCCCUGUCACGGCGGAGGUCGCGGGUUCGAGCCGGAUCGCAACU
rnacentral:tRNA from 1 species